rnacentral:rRNA from 1 species
GAACGGGAUGCUUCAUUCAAAUAUCUGCCCUAUCAACUUUCUGAUGGUAGGAUAGAAGGCUACCAUGGUUUCAACUGGGUAACGGGAAUAAGGGUUCGAUUCCUGGAGUAGGGAGCCUGAGAAAUGGUUACCACAUCCAAUGGAAUGGCAUGCAUGGUGGCAAAAUUACCCAAUCCCUGACAUGGGGAAGGUAGUGACAAUUAAAUAACAAUAUAUGGGCUCUUUUGGGUCUUAUAAUUGGAAUGAUGUACAAUUUAAAUCCCUUAAAUGAUGGAACCAAUUUUGGAUGGGCAAAUGUUCUUGGGUGCCAGGC